UGAGUGAAGAAGGGUUUCGGCUCGUAAAGCUCUGUUGUAAGAGAAGAACGUGUGUGAGAGUGGAAAGUUCACACAGUGACGGUAACUUACCAGAAAGGGACGGCUAACUACGUGCCAGCAGCCGCGGUAAUACGUAGGUCCCGAGCGUUGUCCGGAUUUAUUGGGCGUAAAGCGAGCGCAGGCGGUUUAAUAAGUCUGAAGUUAAAGGCAGUGGCUUAACCAUUGUUCGCUUUGGAAACUGUUAGACUUGAGUGCAGAAGGGGAGAGUGGAAUUCCAUGUGUAGCGGUGAAAUGCGUAGAUAUAUGGAGGAACACCGGUGGCGAAAGCGGCUCUCUGGUCUGUAACUGACGCUGAGGCUCGAAAGCGUGGGGAGCAAACAGGAUUAGAUACCCUGGUAGUCCACGCCGUAAACGAUGAGUGCUAGGUGUUAGGCCCUUUCCGGGGCUUAGUGCCGCAGCUAACGCAUUAAGCACUCCGCCUGGGGAGUACGGUCGCAAGACUGAAACUCAA
rnacentral:rRNA from 1 species